GCUCUCUUAUUUGCCUUCUCACAGUAUAUUACUUGAGAGAUGGGAACCCUCAAGGUGACAAUCCUGCUAUGUUUGCUACUGCUCAUGCCACUCCAUUUGGUUCCUGGUUUAGAGGCACUGACCUGCAAAGAGGUCAGUGGGACAUAUACCAAUCCACGAUGUGAUCAGGUUGAAUGUGUUGAGGCCUGCCACAAGGAGGGCUUUACCCGAGGGGGGUGUGAAGGUAUGAUGAAAACAAAAAGAUUUAUGAUACUUUGUUUUUGCAAAAAGGAGUGUUGAAGAAAAACGUGUUAAGGCUGUGGAGGAUGUGUUGUAGCAAUUAGUAAGACUGUGUAGCAAGAAGAACAAAUAAUGAUGUGUGGUAAA